UGCCUAUUCUAACGUUCAUAAUA
rnacentral:miRNA from 14 species